AAGACUUUUAUAGUAGAUGUAGUCCACAACAACUGGAGUGCCGAAAGUUGCCUACUCCUGCUAUAAUUCAACCAUUGGGUCCCAGAUGUGUGAGCAAUGCAGCAUACAUCUGUAAUUUGUAAAAUGGACAACUAUAGAUCUGAAGUACAAAUGGACAUACUAUGAAUCCUUUAAUAGAAAUAUAUUUUUCAUUGUUCCUUG